CCUACGGGGAGCAGCAGUGAGGAAUAUUGGUCAAUGGACGAGAGUCUGAACCAGCCAAGUAGCGUGAAGGAUGACUGCCCUAUGGGUUGUAAACUUCUUUUAUAUGGGAAUAAAACGUUCCACGUGUGGGAUUUUGUAUGUACCAUAUGAAUAAGGAUCGGCUAACGCCGUGCCAGCAGCCGCGGUAAUACGGAGGAUCCGAGCGUUAUCCGGAUUUAUUGGGUUUAAAGGGAGCGUAGGUGGAUUGUUAAGUCAGUUGUGAAAGUUUGCGGCUCAACCGUAAAAUUGCAGUUGAAACUGGCAGUCUUGAGUACAGUAGAGGUGGGCGGAAUGCGUGGUGUAGCGGUGAAAUGCUUAGAUAUCACGAAGAACUCCGAUUGCGAAGGCAGUUCACUGGACUGCAACUGACACUGAGGCUCGAAAGUGUGGGUAUCAAACAGGAUUAGAUACCCUUGUAGUC
rnacentral:rRNA from 1 species